rnacentral:lncRNA from 1 species
AAGAGAUCUGUGUUUUCCAUUGGUGACAAGUCAGAGGAACCAUUAAUAACCCUGAACUUGUUGUCUAUGUUCUUAAUGGAAAUAAAUACUAAAUUUCAGCUGAAUGUUAGUGAAAAUAAAGAUGCAGUUUUCUCCCAAACAAAUUUAUUCUACACACGGACCCUCACAUUUAGAAAACCUGUACGUAGUCUGUUUUUCUGAAAGCGUAUAUCAGCAAUGGCUACUUUAUUGCAUGCUUUGGGGUUUCUAUUAUGGUCGUCCUUGUAAUAUUUGUAGUCUAAAGGAACUGACAAAUAAAGCUGGCAUAUACAUGGUGUUCCCAGUCACCAAACACUAAUGCCUAAGGUGAUUCAGGGAUGCAGACUCCUCCUGUCUGUGGCUGCACCAGAUCCCAGGGUCUUGCUGGGGUCUACAUCCUACUGAUGGAGGGGUAAAGACAAGCUGAAGGAAGCACUGCAGCCUCUUAAAAGGCUUGGGCCUACAGGUAACACACAUCACCACCACCCAUGCACAUUUCUUUGGCAAGAAUUAGUCACAUGGUCUCAUUUGGGCACUACUUCAUAGCAACAACUCCAUAUAGUGCCACCAGCAACACAAGAUUUUGAUGGACCAUUAACUAGCUCUACCAUAGCAUAUCCUCUCUUAUUGCUUUUAUAAGAUAAAUUUGGCAAAAGUUUUCUGAAAAGUUUUCACAUUACCAAGAUGAAUCCUACUUGGUUUUUGGUGGAUGGUUGUCUUUCUAAAUUGUCAAGCUAGAAGGCGAUAUAGAGCACCUAGUGGCCUUUGCCCUGCAAAUGGAGCACCUGAGCUACAAAUCCAGCAAUCAUCUUUGAAGUGCCUUCUCUUUCACUCCUUGGAGGUGAUCUGUCAGUGCUGCUCCCUAUUUAUUUUACAUCCUAAAUACCACUUAAAUCAGGACUGCCCUGGCAACUGCCUUUCUUCAGAUCCUCAUAAAUUCUCUCCUGGGCCACUUGUAAAAUAGCCUGCUGGCGGCUCUCCACCUUCAGUGUCGUCCUCCCUCCUGAAACCAUUUCUCCACCAACAUUUGAACUUUUAAAACUUUGCACCUCUAUGAGUGAAAAAAAUUGAAUACCUUCAUGCAUGCACUCUGAUAUAUUUAUAAGCUG